GCCAGUGUAACAAAUUGCCUCCUAAACCUCGGUGCCAUUUCUUCCCAGGUUUGGUCUAUUUUCCAUAACAUUUCUGGUUCCCUAACGAGGAAAACUGUGCGGGCCACUUAGGUCACUGGCUGAAGCCUGGCAGCUGAAGCAGGGGACCUCUCUUCAACGGGAAGGCAUGCCCUCCAGACCUUCUUGGAGUCCCCUCACAGACCCAAGCCAGAGCCCCUGCUUGGUGUUAAUGGCCUUCAUCAGACCCAAAAAAGGGGAAGGACAGUCAAGUUGGGUCUUCAGAUAUGAAGUGAUUCCAACUUGCUUCAAGGGCUUUAAGGACGUCAUGUUUCGGGGAAGACUGGCCCACUCAAGGACACUUUCAACUCUACCUACUCUUCCCAGACCCUGCCCUCCCAGAACGUCCCUGUACAAACCUGCCUGGCAAUAUAUGAUGUAAUUCUUGUACUCCAUGUAACCAAUCAUGUUACAUGAUAGCUGAUAACCUGCUAUCAGCUGUGUACUUCCUACCCGCAAACCAUAUUUAAACUGAACUCAAACCUGACUCUGGGCUGGUGGUCUGAACCUCCGGGUUCCCCAGCCGGAUAGCACAAUAAAAGUUGCCUUCUAACUCCUUGGUGCAAAGAGUCUUUCCUUUGGAUUAAUACUGGUUUUUCUGCUACAAGAGAGGCCCUGUCUCCCAGCAGAGAGCGGGAAGGAGUGCGGCCUGAGUGACCCAGGGGCGGAGCUGUGGUUUGUGGGGACCUG
rnacentral:lncRNA from 1 species